rnacentral:rRNA from 1 species
AGCGAACGCUGGCGGCAGGCCUAACACAUGCAAGUCGAGCGAAGCCUUCGGGCUUAGUGGCGGACGGGUGAGUAACACGUGGGAACGUAACUUUUGGUUCGGAAUAACGCAGAGAAAUUUGCGCUAAUACCGAAUGAGCCCUUCGGGGGAAAGAUUUAUCGCCGAAAGAUCGGCCCGCGUUGGAUUAGGUAGUUGGUGUGGUAAAGGCGCACCAAGCCUACGAUCCAUAGCUGGUCUGAGAGGAUGGUCAGCCACACUGGGGCUGAGACACGGCCCAGACUCCUACGGGAGGCAGCAGUGGGGAAUCUUGCGCAAUGGGCGAAAGCCUGACGCAGCCAUGCCGCGUGAAUGAUGAAGGUCUUAGGAUUGUAAAAUUCUUUUACCAGGGACGAUAAUGACGGUACCUGGAGAAAAAGCCCCGGCUAACUUCGUGCCAGCAGCCGCGGUAAGAC